rnacentral:rRNA from 1 species
UGCGUAGGUGGGUUGGUAAGUCAGUGGUGAAAUCUCCGAGCUUAACUUGGAAACUGCCAUUGAUACUAUCAGUCUUGAAUAUUGUGGAGGUUAGCGGAAUAUGUCAUGUAGCGGUGAAAUGCUUAGAUAUGACAUAGAACACCAAUUGCGAAGGCAGCUGGCUACACAUAUAUUGACACUGAGGCACGAAAGCGUGGGGAUCAAACAGGAUUAGAUACCCUGGUAGUCC